CAACUCCUUAAGAGAUAUUUUUUCUUUAAAAAAAUUUUAGUGAAAUAUUUCUUUAAACAUUAUAAAGUGAUCAAAUAAUAUCAUAUUUAUCAGAUACAAAGAGUUGAAAAUAUGUAUAAAAUAAUCAAGUUUGUUUAUGCUAUGAUUAUCUUAAAUUCUUUAUUUCUUUUUGCAAUGAACGUUGCGGAGUAUAUUACAUGUGAAACUGAUGCUGAUUGUCCAAAAAGUCCCUUAACAGGGUUUGGGUGGAAGUGCAUUAAACGACGAUGUGUAUAUUUUGAUAUAGAACCAUAUAAGUACCAAACCUAAUAGAUUAUACUUAGACUUUGCAGGGAAGAAUGAGUUGCUACACUAGCACAAAAUCUAUGCAAUAUACCUUAAAUAAAUUAUUCCAUUAUUUAUACUCAGUAUUAUGCUUGCAUCCAAUAAUUAUGUUUUUUUUUCUUUUUAUAAUUUCAUGGACCUUUCAAUUAUGGUUUUGUAUUCUAACAUGUUGGUAAUCAAAUAAAUUAAGGCAUUAAGGAAUAUCAAA